GAUGAACGCUGGCGGCGUGCCUAAUACAUGCAAGUCGAGCGAACAGACGAGGAGCUUGCUCCUCUGACGUUAGCGGCGGACGGGUGAGUAACACGUGGAUAACCUACCUAUAAGACUGGGAUAACUUCGGGAAACCGGAGCUAAUACCGGAUAAUAUAUUGAACCGCAUGGUUCAAUAGUGAAAGACGGUUUUGCUGUCACUUAUAGAUGGAUCCGCGCCGCAUUAGCUAGUUGGUAAGGUAACGGCUUACCAAGGCGACGAUGCGUAGCCGACCUGAGAGGGUGAUCGGCCACACUGGAACUGAGACACGGUCCAGACUCCUACGGGAGGCAGAAGUAGGGAAUAUUCCGCAAUGGGCGAAAGCCUGAAGGAGCAACGCCGCGUGAGUGAUGAAGGUCUUCGGAUCGUAAAACGCUGUUAUUAGGGAAGAACAAAUGUGUAAGUAACUAUGCACGUCUUGACGGUACCUAAUCAGAAAGCAACGGCUAACUACGC
rnacentral:rRNA from 1 species